AGCUCCAAUAGCGUAUAUUAAAGUUGUUGCAGUUAAAAAGCUCGUAGUUGGAUUUCUGGUGAGUUCGUUUGGCCGGCCGUAAAGGUCUGUGCCGAAAUGUUAUUCGCCAUCCUUGGUGUAAUCUUGUCCGCCAUUAAGUUGUGUGGGCUUGAGGAUGCCAUCGUUUACUGUGAAAAAAUUAGAGUGUUCAAAGCAGGCUUAUGCCGUUGAAUACAUUAGCAUGGAAUAAUAAGAUAGGACCCUGGUACUAUUUUGUUGGUUUGCGUACCUAGGUAAUGAUUAAUAGGGACAGUUGGGGGUAUUUGUAUUCCGUUGUCAGAGGUGAAAUUCUUGGAUUUACGGAAGACAAACUACUGCGAAAGCAUUUACCAAGGAUGUUUUCAUUA
rnacentral:rRNA from 2 species